rnacentral:lncRNA from 1 species
UCCGGAUUCAACUUCCUCUUCGAUAAGGUCACGCGGAAGAAGACUCCCAGCGGGAGUCUUUAACGUUUCCUUUUUUCUUUUCUUUUGUCUCUUUUGUUUUCUUUUUUUUUGUUUUUCUUUUUAUGCCCUAAGAUUCAUGUAAGGGGCAUGUGAUUUUAGGACUGGAUAUUACAUGAAAAGGUACUUCUCGGUGAGAGGGACUCCUCAGCA